GAUCUUUAUGAUUGCAGAAUUAGAAUGAAAUUGUUCUGCUGAUACUUGUAAAAAGAUCAAGAUGUCACAGUCAGAAGUGGAUAAACUGUCGCAACAUCUUUCAUUACUUAGAACUGAGUAUGUAAAGCUGCAGCAGAAAUGUGUUAUGUUGGAGAGAGAAAACUCAGUGCUGGCUGCUGAGAAUGGUGAGCAGGGUCAGGAUUCAUUUAUAUCUCGUCUUCUUGCUACAGUUUCCUCAUUAUACAACCAGCCUCUGUAUAGUGAUUUGACAAUAAUUACUCCCUCCUCUAAUAUCCAUGCUCACAAAUUUGUCCUCAGUUGUAGAAGUGACUGCUGGGGAGUUAGUUCCUUGUCUGAGGUUGAAUCCUUAAACUGGGUUAAUCUGGGUGAAGAUGUUAGCUUGGCGCUGUUACGUUGGAUAUAUACUGAUCAAAUCACACUCAGUGGUGGAGACCAGUUUACGCUUACCUUAAUGGCGGUUGGAAGUCAGUUUAAGUUAAGAGCUCUGGUAGACAGUUGUGAACAAAAUCUUGUUUCCUCAGUAAGCGUAUCCAACUGCAUUAGUUUCUUUGCAACAGCAGACAGGAUAAAUGCUGAGAGACUAAAGGAUCACUGCACCCAACUUAUCUCAGCAAACUGGGAUAAGUUUACAUAUAAGGAUUUUAUUGAGCUCUCUCCUGAGUUGGUUUAUACCAUGCUAAAAAAACGUGCAUCCUUCCCUCUACACUCUGCUAUAGAACUGAAGAGGGAAGAUGUCGUCUUCCUUUACCUCAUUGAGUUUAACUCGGAGCUUUCUAUUCGAAUGAAUGAAACUGACGACAGAGGUCGUCUUCCUCUUGACCUUGCUCUAGCCACAGCGCAGUACGGUAUAGCCAAGAGUCUGGUUGAGCAUCAGGUGAAUGUUAACCAAAUGAAUAAGGGCGGCCUCAGUGUUCUCCAUUUAGCAAUAGUGCGUAAUGAUCCUGCCGCGUGUAUUUUUCUCUUAAAAAAUGGCGCGCAAGUCAACCUAUCCACUCAGGCGGAGACAAAUACCCCUCUCCACCUCAUAGCCAGUUCCUUGAACCCUGAGCUGUUAGAGGUUGCUAGAGAAAUAAUUCUACGGAAUGGAGAUAUCAACCUUCAAAAUAAGGAGGGAGAAACAGCACUUCAUAUAGCUAUUCAGAGUGAGAAUACUGCAUUGUUCUGUUUAUUACUGGAAGAGAAAGCAAACCUUGAGCUGGUCACUAGACAGGGCAAACCUCCUCUCUGGUUUGCUCUCAUGAUGAAAGAAGAGAAGUUUGAAGAGAACAGUUACGCGCAGAGGUUAGUGGAGGCUGGCGCUGAUGUUAACAGUAUCUGUAGCCCGGCCUCCGAUACCAUCCUCCACCUUCUGGCAGGGCAGGCCAGGGAGGAGGCCUGCCUCUUUCUUGUUUCUUCAGGAGCUAAUGUUAACAAGAUAAACCGACGCGGUGAAUCUGUUCUUCAUCUAGCAGCCAUUCAUGGAUUAGCUACCUUAGCCACAGCUCUACUAGUGGCUGGAGCAGAUCCAAACCUUCAAACUUCUAUAGUUGAUGGUGAUACUUGGAGACAAACAGCUCUACAUCUAGCUCUACUUAACAAACAGGAAACUGUUGUAUCUUGUCUGCUCGAGUUUAGCCAACCAUCUGAUGGCUUAUCAACUGUCUUACUGGAUUUAAAUCUAAAGAAUUCAGAAGAUGAAACCCCGCUAGCUCUGGCUUUACAUACAGGUUUCAGUCACUUAGCUGAUCUAAUGAUAGAGUCCGGAGCUGACGUUAAUAUAACCGACGCCAACGGUUUCACUCUUCUCCAGAAAGCAAUUGUCGACGGAAACCCUAGCGCGGCUAUUUUCCUUCUCCAACAUGGCGCUGAUAUCAACAUUCGAUCCCCGCAAGGGAUGACCCCCCUAGAGCUGGCUAUACGAGCUGAUAUAGAACCUGUAGUUGAGAAACUGUGCCUGGCAGGAGCAGAUACUCAGUCCUCUAGUACAGGGGAGCCACCUGUAUGGAUUGCUUUAGAUCUUGGACUUGAAGAUAUUGCCAGUAUUAUUGUUAGACAUGGAGUAGAUACCGAGGGCUGGGGGCCAGGACCAGAUGAAUGUGAUCAAACCCUACUUCACAGAGCCAUAGAUGAGAACCGGGAGGAUAUUGCUUGUUUCCUCAUCAGAUCUGGAUGCGAUCUUAACUCUCCUAGAAGACCAGGACACGGAGGAAAAGGCGGUCUUGAAGCAUUUGAUGGUCAAGGACCUCUUCAUCUUUCUUCUCAGUGGGGUCAAGAGAAGGUCGUGACUUGUCUGAUUGAACACGGAGCAGAUAUUAACAAACAGGACGCUGAAGGAAAGACAGUGCUCCAUCAUGCUAUAGAAAAUGGGCAGAGUGGGAUAAUUAACAUGGUUCUAGGUUGCCCAGGCAUUAACCUAAGCUGUCGAGAUAAAGCAGGAUUAAGCCCUUUUGCUUGUGCCAUGACCUUCAAGAACAACUCAGCUGCCAGAGUGAUCCUCGAGCUUGAGCCUGGAGCUGCAGAACAUCCAGACGCAAGGGGAAAGAACUUUCUGCACACCGCUAUACUCAGAGGAGACCUGGAGGCACUUUUGUUUCUCAUCUCUAUCAGUGUAAAUGUGCACUCUAAAACUACAGAUGCUAAUAAGCUGGCCCCCCUUCUACUAGCCGUCCAGGUUGGAAACGAAAUGAUGGUUCGAAAUUUGAUCCUUGCCGGAGCGAAUGUUCAGGAAAGAACGUUGACCGGUCAGACUGGUCUUCAUAUAGCUGCAGAGAGAGAUCUACCUGAGAUAGCUAGUGUACUCAUAAACAAUAAUAUUGAGUACGCAGCAGUUGAUGAGGAUGGAAAUAACGCUCUUCAUGUAGCUGUUAGAGAAGGGAAUGUAAAGACGGUUCAGGUUCUCCUUUCUGAAUCCAGGAUAGACGCCGAGUUGUUGAAUGAGAAGGGUAGAUCACCCCUGCAUGUAUUAGCAAGGUUUACGGAGAGAAAUACAACGGAUAUUUUCAAUGUGUUCAUGGAGACUAUGCCGGAAUAUCCUAUAGAUAAACAGGAUACAGAAGGAAACACACCUCUGCUAUCAGCUUAUAUAAAGGGAAAUGGAGAUCUAUGUCGGGCCUUGGUGAAUCAAGGAGCAGUUCUUGGAACCAUGAAUAAAAAUAUGGUCAGCAUGUUUAAUCAUCCUGUAGCUACAAAACAGCUGCUUUUCAGAUUGCUUGACAUGCUUGGAACAGAGCCAAGGUGGGGGGAGGGGGAUCUUUGCCAAGAAUGUCAAACAAAGUUUGGUUUAACAACAAGGAAGCAUCACUGUAGGCACUGUGGAAGAUUACUAUGUGGAAAGUGCAGCGCCAAGGAGAUGCCCAUUAUUAAGUACAAUCUAACUAAGUCUGUUCGUGUGUGCGGAGUUUGUUCAGAUCUUCUUACUCUAGGAGUUGGCGCAGGAGUCUGAAUGCUGUGUUCAAUAUUCAUAUUUCAUAUAUUACAGAUUCUCCUUGUUAAAAUCAAGUGAUUAAAAUAGGAAUUACCACGUGGAUCUGAUUGCUGAUCCGACAUGUAUAGAUUUCAUGUUAUAUGUUGGGUAAGAAAUUAUAUCACAAUUUGAAAUGUAGGAUCUUAUUGACGCUUCAUUUUGAAAAUUGCUAUUUUCUAAAGGGUUGCAUGACCAAACAUAUUGGAAGCCGAUAUUUUGGGUUUGGGUUAGGUUUAAUUAACGACAAUUCUAUGGUCCUAGCUCUUAGGCGAGAGUUCUUGACCAUACUACACAGCAAUGUUAUCGU
rnacentral:misc_RNA from 1 species